rnacentral:rRNA from 1 species
AAGUGCCGUUCAAAUAGGGCGGCACCUUGACGGUACCUAACCAGAAAGCCACGGCUAACUACGUGCCAGCAGCCGCGGUAAUACGUAGGUGGCAAGCGUUGUCCGGAAUUAUUGGGCGUAAAGGGCUCGCAGGCGGUUUCUUAAGUCUGAUGUGAAAGCCCCCGGCUCAACCGGGGAGGGUCAGUGGAAACUGGGGAACUUGAGUGCAGAAGAGGAGAGUGGAAUUCCACGUGUAGCGGUGAAAUGCGUAGAGAUGUGGAGGAACACCAGUGGCGAAGGCGACUCUCUGGUCUGUAACUGACGCUGAGGAGCGAAAGCGUGGGGAGCGAACAGGAUUAGAUACCCUGGUAGUCCACGCCGU